AAAAGUUGUCAACAAAGACAUCUUAAGACAAGAGGUCCUUUGCAUGAUAUGGAAGUGUUGCAGAAAAGGAAGAAAUCAAGUUACAGAGGUGGAUACUCUUUGCAGUGAUAUGAGAUUGAGGAGGGAAUCCAUCACAUCAUGUAGGAGUCAUUGUUUCUCUAAGGCCACUGACUUACCUUCCAAGUAAUAGGUUAUGGAGGCGGUUCCUUGCCAAUAAAUGCAGGUCAACAUCCAGCAAGGGCCACUGGCUUGCUAACAGUUGUGUAAGUGAGCUUGGAAGCCUAUCUUGUCCCGUCCAACCUGAAGAUGACUGCAGCCCCAGCCAGCCAAACGUUGAUGCUUGUGAGAGGCCCUGAGUCAAAGACAUCCAAUUAAGUUGUGCCCAGAUCCUAGUGCCUAAGAAACUCUGAGAAAAUACUUGUUUGUUGUUUUAAGCCACUAAAUUUGGGGACACACUGUUC
rnacentral:lncRNA from 13 species